AACAAAAAGAACUGAUACUUCAUUGAACAAUUACAUAUUUUCAGACCAAGUAUUAUGACGAUGUGAAAAAAACUUUGGCGAUUCUACAAAAAAAAUUUCACAUAGUUACAUGCUAACGAAGAUACGUUUCACGAAAUUCGUGAUUAUCUGACAUUAAAUUAUUCGAAAUAUGAAAAUGUACUGCCAUAUACAAUACACUUUUGCUGUACAAAGUUGUGCCCUGCCAAAGAACCCAAAGAGUUAUUUAGAAGUUGUAAAAGUAAGAACAUAUUUACUGUAAACGAAGAAAUGAGACUUCAAAAUUUACAGAUUCUUCGCAAACUUCAAAAUUGGCACAACACCUUUAAUACAUGGGUAUCCAGCAUAUCCAGUAAUAACGUUCCUGGAUUAAUAGUAGUAAGAAGUAUGUUGAUGGAGCAAGACAAUAUUUCAAAGUAUUCAAUAUUUUGAAGAUACAUCUUUCAUUAUUGGAUUGUGAUUUUUAUAGACAUUUCCCAAAUUUCUUGGGAUAAAUCUAUGUUUGGAACGUAUAAGAUUAUCGACAGAAAUCGUCAAGAGAAUUCCAUGUAAGUUGACAUAUGAAAACUGGAAUUUUAUUCUGACUUCUUUAGUCCUACGGCCGAAUUUCAUUAGGAAGUCAAAACAAAAUGUUACUGAUUUCGAGGCAUUUACACUGCUGGUAGCCAUGUGUCAACUAUAUCGCGCGGUCCAAGAUUUAAUUAACAAACAUGACCAGGAAAAAGUAAUAAUAAUAUCACAAAAAUGAAAAAAUGGAAAAAUAUUUUUAUCGGAUAUUCAGUGGAAUUACUGAAUUUUGGAUGCUUUGUGCAGAUGUGUACAGUGAAAAAACAACAGCUUUGGAAGUUGUUAUAUUAUUGGAUCACUUAGGAAAGGCUGAAAAUGGUUAAUGGCAAUAUAAUUUUCAAAAAUCAUACAUUUCUUACAAGGACUGUUGGAUUAGCAUUGAAAUUCCUCCAAUCUCCUGUAUCUAGUGUACAAUUAGGUGCGUAUCAUAUAGUAAAACAUGCAAUACUAUUUUGUCUUGUGGAACAAGACAAAACUACAAUCGAAUUAAAGAAUUU